UACGGGGGGGGCAAGCGUUGUUCGGAAUUACUGGGCGUAAAGGGCUCGUAGGUGGCCAACUAAGUCAUACGUGAAAUCCCUCGGCUCAACUGAGGAACUGCCUUUGAAACUGUCGGGCUUGAGGUCGGGAGAGGGUAGUGGAAUUCCCAGUGUAGCGGUGAAAUGCGUAGAUAUUGGGAGGAACACCAGUGGCGAAGGCGGCUACCUGGACCGGUUCUGACGCUGAGGCGCGAAAGCGUGGGUAGCAAACAGG
rnacentral:rRNA from 1 species